AGUUUGAUCCUGGCUCAGGAUGAACGCUGGCGGCGUGCCUAACACAUGCAAGUCGAACGAGCAAAUACAUUUGAUUUCUUCGGAAUGAAGAUGUAGGCGCGAGUGGCGGACGGGUGAGUAACGCGUGAGUAAUCUGCCUCAUACAGGAGAAUAACACUAAGAAAUUGGUGCUAAUACUCCAUAAGCUCACAUUAUAACAUCAUAGAGUGAGAAAAGAUUUAUCGGUAUGAGAGGAGCUCGCGUCUGAUUAGCUAGUUGGUGGGGUAACGGCCUACCAAGGCAACGAUCAGUAGCCGACCUGAGAGGGUGAUCGGCCACAUUGGAACUGAGACACGGUCCAAACUCCUACGGGAGGCAGCAGUGGGGAAUAUUGCACAAUGGGGGAAACCCUGAUGCAGCAACGCCGCGUGAAGGAAGAAGUAUUUCGGUAUGUAAACUUCUAUCGACAGGGAAGAAACAAAUGACGGUACCUGAAUAAGAAGCACCGGCUAAAUACGUGCCAGCAGCCGCGGUAAUACGUAUGGUGCAAGCGUUAUCCGGAUUUACUGGGUGUAAAGGGUGAGUAGGCGGUCAUGCAAGUCAUAUGUGAAAUGUCAGGGCUUAACCUUGGCGCUGCAUAAGAAACUGUAUGACUAGAGUGCAGGAGAGGUAAGCGGAAUUCCUAGUGUAGCGGUGAAAUGCGUAGAUAUUAGGAAGAACACCGGUGGCGAAGGCGGCUUACUGGACUGUUACUGACGCUGAGUCACGAAAGCGUGGGGAGCAAACAGGAUUAGAUACCCUGGUAGUCCACGCCGUAAACGAUGAGUGCUAGGUGUUGGCCAGAGAUGGUCGGUGCCGCAGCAAACGCAAUAAGCACUCCACCUGGGGAGUACGACCGCAAGGUUGAAACUCAAAGGAAUUGACGGA
rnacentral:rRNA from 1 species